rnacentral:lncRNA from 1 species
GUAUCAUCCAGAAAUAUCUUCUCUAAUACGACUCUCGUAUUAGAAGAGAGUGAAGAUAUUUCUCCAGAACUGCUUUCCGUCAUUUUGGCUGGAGCGAAAAGGAACAGCGAGAAGCUUCUGCCAGUUGCAAUGAAAUUGGGGGAGAGAGCAAUUGAGAAGUGUGAGUAUGUGAGAAGUGUUCAGUCAAGCUUAAACCUUACCUCACACGAACUUUAAAAUCUUUGGAGAUUCCUUUGGAUGAUUAUAGUGAGGUUGUCGCUUCUAUCUGCAAAGAGACUGAUGGUCAUGUUGGUCAUAAUGCUACAGUACCCAUGGCGACCAGCUGGUUAUUGAGAGGACAUACUUUUACCAUCAUCAGGAUGUCAGUGGAAUACAAGGAAAGCUACCAUAUUUAAUAGAUUACUAUUAAUGAAUAUUGUAAUUGAUAGAUAUCAUAUUUAGUUGUGAUUUUGAUUUUAUAUAAUGAUAGAACAUUAUCGAGUCUUAUUAAAUAUCAUUGAGUGUAUUUUACACUCAUGUGCCAUGGAG